GGGCUCUUUGGGCUUGGGCUUUUCAACUUCUUUCGGUUUUUCCGGUACUUUAGGCUUUUCUGGCUCUUUGGGUUGCUCGGGCUCUUUCGGCUUUUCCGGUGCCUUUGGCUUCUCGGGCUCCUUGGGCUUUUCAAUGAUGACAACCGUAGGCUUCUCAGGUUGUUUAGGCUUUUCGGGCUCUUUAGGCUUUUCCGGUUGUUUGGGCUUCUCGGGUUCUUUGGGUUUCACAGGCUCCUUGGGCUUUUCAGGAGCUUUGGGCUUUGGAGGCUCUUUGAUUUC
rnacentral:lncRNA from 1 species